rnacentral:rRNA from 1 species
UGCAGAAUCCCGUGAACCAUCGAGUCUUUGAACGCAAGUUGCGCCCGAGGGACCCUCCCGAGGGCACGCCUGCCUCAUGGGCGUUAGAAGCCCAUCCACGCUCGGUUGCCUCGAGGCAAAGAUGCGGACAUUGGCCCUCCGAACCGCGAGGUGCGGUGGGCCUAAGUGUGCGGCCGUCGUAUGUGGCCGGGAGCGGCGAGUGGUGGGCUACUGCGCACGUCACCCCGAGCCCUGUACAGACACAAGGCCUUUCUGGACCCCUAACGAGGAGCUUGCCGUCGCGGCCUGCGCCGCGCGGCGCCUUCGGACCGAUACCCCAGGUCAGGCGGGGCUACCCGCUGAGUUUAAGCAUAUAAAUAAGCGGAGGAGAAGAAACUUACGAGGAUUCCCCUAGUAACGGCGAGCGAACCGGGAGCAGCCCAGCCUUAGAAUCGCGGUGGCACUGCCGCCCGA